rnacentral:rRNA from 1 species
UACGAAGGGAGCUAGCGUUGUUCGGAAUCACUGGGCGUAAAGCGCACGUAGGCGGAUUUGUCAGUCAGGGGUGAAAUCCCGGGGCUCAACCUCGGAACUGCCUUUGAUACAGCACGUCUCGAGUCCGGAAGAGGUGGGUGGAAUUCCUAGUGUAGAGGUGAAAUUCGUAGAUAUUAGGAAGAACACCGGUGGCGAAGGCGGCCCACUGGUCCGGUACUGACGCUGAGGUGCGAAAGCGUGGGGAGCAAACAGG